GUGCUCGCUUCAGCGGCACAUAUACUAAAACUGGAACGAUACAGAGAAGAUUAGCAUGGCCCCUGCGCAAGGAUGACGUGCAAAUUUGUGAAGCGUUCCAUAUUUUU